rnacentral:rRNA from 1 species
GACGAACGCUGGCGGCGUGCCUAAUACAUGCAAGUCGAACGAGAGCGACCGGUGCUUGCACUGGUCAAUCUAGUGGCGAACGGGUGAGUAACACGUGGGUAACCUGCCCAUCAGAGGGGGAUAACAUCCGGAAACGGAUGCUAAAACCGCAUAGGUCUUCGAGCCGCAUGGCUUGAAGAGGAAAAGAGGCGCAAGCUUCUGCUGAUGGAUGGACCCGCGGUGCAUUAGCUAGUUGGUGAGGUAACGGCUCACCAAGGCCGUGAUGCAUAGCCGACCUGAGAGGGUGAUCGGCCACAUUGGGACUGAGACACGGCCCAAACUCCUACGGGAGGCAGCAGUAGGGAAUCUUCCGCAAUGGACGCAAGUCUGACAGAGCAACGCCGCGUGAGUGAAGAAGGUUUUCGGAUCGUAAAACUCUGUUGUUAGAGAAGAACAAGUGCUAGAGUAACUGUUAGCGCCUUGACGGUAUCUAACCAGAAAGCCACGGCUAACUACGUG